rnacentral:rRNA from 1 species
UACGGAAUGUGCAAGCGUUACUCGGAAUCACUGGGCUUAAAGAGUCCGUAGGCGGCAUGUUAGGUGAGGUGUGAAAUCCCCCGGCUCAACCGAGGAAUUGCGCUUCAAACCGGCGUGCUUGAGGAAGAUAGAGGUGGGCGGAACUGAUGGUGGAGCGGUGAAAUGCGUUGAUAUCAGCAGGAACACCGGAGGCGAAGGCGGCCCACUGGGUCUUUUCUGACGCUGAGGGACGAAAGCUAGGGGAGCGAACGGG